UACGUAGGGUGCGAGCGUUAAUCGGAAUUACUGGGCGUAAAGCGUGCGCAGGCGGUUUUGUAAGUCAGAUGUGAAAUCCCCGGGCUUAACCUGGGAACUGCGUUUGAAACUACAAGGCUAGAGUGUGGCAGAGGGGGGUGGAAUUCCACGUGUAGCAGUGAAAUGCGUAGAGAUGUGGAGGAACACCGAUGGCGAAGGGCAGCCCCCUGGGAUAACACUGACGCCUCAUGCACGAAAGCGUGGGGAGC
rnacentral:rRNA from 1 species